rnacentral:rRNA from 1 species
AUUGAACGCUGGCGGCAUGCCUUACACAUGCAAGUCGAACGGUAACAGGUUAAGCUGACGAGUGGCUAACGGGUGAGUAAUAUAUCGGAACGUGCCCAGUCGCGGGGGAUAACGUAACGAAAGCUAAGCUAAUACCGCAUACGAUCAACGGAUGAAAGCGGGGUAUCGCAAGACCGCGCGCGAUUGGAGCGGUCGACAUCAGAUUAGGUUGUUGGUGAGGUAAAAGCUCACCAAGCCUGCGAUCUGUAGCUGGUCUGAGAGGACGACCAGCCACACUGGAACUGAGACACGGCCCAGACUCCUACGGGAGGCAGCAGUGGGGAAUUUUGGACAAUGGACGCAAGUCUGAUCCAGCAAUGCCGCGUGCAGGACGAAGGCCUUCGGGUUGUAAACUGCUUUUGUACGGAACGAAACGGUGAGCUCUAAUACAGUUUGCUAAUGACGGUACCGUAAGAAUAAGCACCGGCUAACUACGUGCCAGCAGCCGCCGUAA